rnacentral:rRNA from 1 species
UACAGAGGCCUCAAGCGUUAAUCGGAAUCACUGGGCUUAAAGGGUGCGUAGGCUGACUCGUAAGUGCUUUGUGAAAUCCCAUCGCUCAACGGUGGAAUUGCUUGGCAUACUGCGAGUCUUGAGGUCGGUAGGGGCUGCCGGAACUGUAGGUGGAGCGGUGAAAUGCGUAGAUAUCUACAGGAACGCCAAAGGUGAAGACAGGCAGCUGGGCCGAUUCUGACGCUGAGGCACGAAAGCGUGGGGAGCAAACGGGAUUAGAUACCCCGGUAGUCCACGCCCUAGACUAUGCAGACUAGAUCGCGGAGGCUCUGACGCCAUCGUGGUCGAAGCAAAAGUAUUAAGUCUGCCGCCUGGGGAGUACGGUCGCAAGGCUAAA